rnacentral:lncRNA from 1 species
CUUCGGGCCAUUGGUUGAGAUGCUGCUCACAUUCUGAGAGCAAUGGGAAUGGACUGGGGUGUCGGGGAGGGGGUCUGAGGGGUGUUGGUGGAAGCAAAAGUAUUCUCACAAAGGCACAGGUAUGCUCUACUCCAAGGAAGUCUCAGCACCCCCAUCAUUUAAGGCUGCAUCCCACUAAUUCAGUCACUGGACAAAGAGAAAGAAUUGGAGGAGGGCUAGACUACACUGGCUGCUCUAUCUGCCUCGGCUUCAGUAAUGGGGAAGAGUAUAGCAGAACCCCAGAGACCAAUUUUCCACUUCCAUUUACCAAGCCAAAUAGGAAGGCUGUGUCACAAGGAUGCUUGUCUUUCAUGAAAAAGUCUAACCACCACACUAACUACCCUUGAGAAGGCCCUCCUGAGAAAUAAACUGCAUCUUCGUUGAUGACAACUCAUGGUCAAACUUUUGCAAUGUUCCUAACAUUGCGCAUGGAGCAGAGCCACAAAAGUGGUUUUUGAAUAAUUGAACAUGACUGAGUAACUCGUCUAUGAAUGUGGCAAGUGGGACCUCUACUGUGGCAGAAACCCUGAGGCCUGAUGGAUGGGCACAGUUUAUGGUUUGCUAUAAUCAGACCAGUUAGCUCUAUUUGAUCUCUUAAACUUCCAGAAUGCUGUUCAGAGUCACCCUGUGGGACUGUGCACAGCCUGCAGGACUGUAGCCAGAACAGGUCAAUUGCUGCUUUCGAGAUGCAGUGUCCUGGGAGUUGCACCAAGCAAAAGUCUUAAAUGAAGCACCAAGGGUGAUAAAACUUGUGGUGCACUCAGCAGACAGCUUGCCAGAAAUCUGUGUUCAGUCUCGAGGUCUUAUGAGAUAAUUCUGAACAGAAGUGAACAUAACACAGUAGUAACUGAUGACAGCCCUGGACUUCAGAAGGCAGAGCUCAUCCUGGCUCUAGCAUGAACUUUGACCUCUGAACAAAUUCCUUUAUCCAGGCUAAAUUUUCUCACUUUUACUGAAAGAAUCAAGAACUGAUGGUGUUAGAGGGUGAUUCAGGCUCCCAAGGUUUGCAGGCUAGAAUAUUUUGCUUUUGCAUGUGUGUUUUGCACGGUGAUGGCCUGUAUAGGCUCAUAUAUUUAAUGCUUGGUUCCCAGCCUGUGGAACUGUUUGGGAAGGACUUAGGAGGUAUGACCUUGUUGGAGGAUGUGUAUGACUGGGGAUGGGCUCUCAGGUUUCCAAAGCCCAUGCCAUCCCCAUCCCGCUUUCUCUGCCCCCUGCUCAUGGAUGUAAGCUCUCAGGUAUUUCUCCAGUGCCAUGGCUGCCUGCCUGCUGCCAUGUUCCCUACCAUGAAGGUCAUGGACUCUAAACCUCUGGAACCAGAACCCCAAUAAAUUCUUUCAUUUGUAAGUUGACUUGGCUAUGCUAGCUUUUCACAGCAAUAGAAAAACAAGACCCAAAGGCAAUCUCUCUCCUGUGUCAGUGGACUGAGGAAACUGCGCUAUUUGUCCUUUGGCUAGCUAAGUAUGCAAUAGGUAGCCAACUGAGCUAGAGGUUGCCUACUAUUGAGCAAGAGACAUUCUCUGUGCAAAACUAAAAGUAUAAGUCAAGUUGGGCAGCAUAAGCUAUAAUUUCUGCACCUGGAAGAUGAACACAGGACCAUCAAGUGUUUAAUGUCAUUGUCAGCUAUAUAGAAAGUUACACACCAGCCUGAAAUGUACAAGGUAUCUUUAAAACAAAACUAAAAUAAAACUGGAAAGUUU